UACCCAAGAGAUGAAAAGAAACAGAGAACUCCCAAGCACACAGCAAACCGAAAUGCAGAAUACAGUGCUGUUGGCACCAAAUUUACAUACCUUAGUUCACCCUAAAAUUCAAAAAAAAAAUUCAAGAUUGUUCAUCACAUCGAAUCUUACGGCACAUUUAUAAAACAUUAAAUACAAAUAAAAAAUAACUAAUUCCACAAUUUAUCUGUAAUUUGCGAGACG
rnacentral:lncRNA from 1 species